AAAUCCUGUUCGUGUAAGGUAUUAACCAUACCAACGAUAGCGAGUCUUGGAUUGUAAUUGGUAACAAUUACGAUUAAGCGUAGACAGUUAGGCGAUAGGGUCAUAAGGCAAAUACAGCCCCGAAAUCUUACCAAACUACUGUGCCGACAGCUUAUUCAUACUGGAAGGCAAUACAAAGUUAUGCGUUACGGUGAAUAUGACUUUGGCAGUACGGGGUCUC
rnacentral:ncRNA from 1 species